rnacentral:rRNA from 1 species
UAUGACCUGGGCUACACACGUGCUACAAUGGGAAGUACAACGAGUUGCGAAGUCGCGAGGCUAAGCUAAUCUCUUAAAGCUUCUCUCAGUUCGGAUUGCAGGCUGCAACUCGCCUGCAUGAAGCCGGAAUCGCUAGUAAUCGCGGAUCAGCACGCCGCGGUGAAUACGUUCCCGGGCCUUGUACACACCGCCCGUCACACCACGAGAGUUUGUAACACCCGAAGUCGGUGAGGUAACCUUUUGGAGCCAGCCGCCUAAGGUGGGAUAGAUGAUUGGGGUGAAGUCGUAACAAGGUAGCCGUAUCGGAAGGUGCGGUUGGAUCACCUCC